AACAUCUGAACGACAAAUGCAGCUGCAUGUUUAUAACAAACACGCUGAGGAGUCGAUACGAGGAAUCAUGAGUCAAACAAUUAGCCUUCUUCUCGUUUUUGUUUCUCUUAUUUUGAUGUCAGGAUUUUUCAUGACAUCAGUAACAGCGGAACGUCCAGUUUGCAAAAAGUUACUAAAGAAACAUUGCCGCAACAGCGCGGGAUACCGUGAAAUGUGUAAGAUCGCGUGUGGACAUUUUGGUUUCUGACAGACGACGGCAACACCACGACGAAUAUUUUGACGUAAACCACUUUGAUUCCCGUUGAAAAUACCAUAAAAUGUGAAAGUACAUAAAAUUCUACGUAUUUGGUUAUUUUCAAUAACAAAUAAAUGUAAUGCAAUUACUGUUUUCUUCUUCUCAUCGAUGGUUACAAAUUAUUAUCUUUGGAAAUUGUCUGUAUACUGUUGAAUAAUUUACGGUCAUACAAUCUGAACGCAAUUUCUUGACGUUGUUUCUUAAUUCUCUGCAAACCGGUUACUCUCAUUUCGUAAGAUGAUUCGCUUCAGGUUUAACCUGAUUCAAGUAAAAUAGGUUAAGUUUCCAUCCUUGCAUUUUGUCAAUUUCCUCGUUAUUCGUAACAUUCAAGGAUAGUGUUCUUGAAAUUGUGGAGUUUACGGUGAGUUCAUUCUUUUACGAUUGAUUUGAAGCAUUUUAUUUUAUUUUCUGGCAGCCUAUUCUGGGUCUAUAGUAACUGUGUAUCUAAAAAUUAAACGGUGUCACAUUAUACCGCAUUCGAAUACUUAUAAUGGUAUAAGGGAGAAACAUCAAAUUUGAUUCAACUGAUUGAAACAGAACCUCGUCUUGAUCUGUGAAUCUUGGAGUCAAUAUCUCCAGUAUUCUAUUGUUAUAGAUGCCUUCCUGAAAGAAUAAUAAUUUUACUUUACUAAGCUAU